rnacentral:rRNA from 1 species
AUUGAACGCUGGCGGCGUGCUUAACACAUGCAAGUCGUGCGGUAACAGGCGUAGCAAUACGUGCUGACGAGCGGCGAACGGGUGCGUAAUACAUGGGAAUCUGCCUUUUAGUGGGGAAUAACCCGGCGAAAGCCGGGCUAAUGCCGCAUAAGAUCUUCGGAUGAAAGCGGGGGAUCGUAAGACCUCGCGCUGGUAGAUGAGCCCAUGCCGGAUUAGCCAGUUGGGAGGUAACGGCUCACCAAGGCGACGAUCCGUAGCUGGUCUGAGAGGACGGCCAGCCACACUGGGACUGAGACACGGCCCAGACUCCUACGGGAGGCAGCAGUGGGGAAUAUUGGACAAGUGGGGGAAACCCUGAUCCAGCGACGCCGCGUGUGUGAAGAAGGCCUGC